AGUUCUCGGGUGACGCACCCCGGAAUUGGCUUCCUCCUCUCUGGUUCCAGGUGCAUCACCUGGGAACUGCA
rfam:Myotis lucifugus cont2.8357, whole genome shotgun sequence.